rnacentral:misc_RNA from 1 species
GAUCAUUACCGAGUUUUCAACUCCCUAAACCCAAAUGUGAACAUACCAUGUCGUUGCCUCGGCGGACUCGUCCCGGCGCCCGGACGGCCCUCGCGCCGGCCCGCGGCCCGGAUCCACGGCGGCCGCCGAAGACCCCUGAAACUUCUGUCAUCAGCAGUCUCUUCUGAACAAGCCGCAAGGCGAAAGCAAAAUGAAUCAAAACUUUCAACAACGGAUCUCUUGGUUCUGGCAUCGAUGAAGAACGCAGCGAAAUGCGAUAAGUAAUGUGAAUUGCAGAAUUCAGUGAAUCAUCGAAUCUUUGAACGCACAUUGCGCCCGCCAGUACUCUGGCGGGCAUGCCUGUUCGAGCGUCAUUUCAACCCUCGAGCCCCCUCUGGGGGGCCCGGCGUUGGGGAUCGGCAGCACACCGCCGUCCCUGAAAUGGAGUGGCGGCCCGUCCGCGGCGACCUCUGCGCAGUACAACCACUCGCACCGGGACCCUGGGCGCGGCCACGCCGUAAAACACCCAACUCUCCGAACGUUGACCUCGAAUCAGGUAGGACUACCCGCUGAACCUAAGCAUAUCA